rnacentral:misc_RNA from 1 species
GAUGAAGAACGUAGCGAAAUGCGAUAAGUAAUGUGAAUUGCAGAAUUCAGUGAAUCAUCGAGUCUUUGAACGCACAUUGCGCCCCCUGGUAUUCCGGGGGGCAUGCCUGUCCGAGCGUCAUUGCCGCCCUCAAGCACGGCUUGUGUGUUGGGCCCCCGCCCCCCGGCUUCGGGGGGCGGGCCCGAAAGGCAGCGGCGGCACCGCGUCCGGUCCUCGAGCGUAUGGGGCUUCGUCACCCGCUCUGUAGGCCCGGCCGGCGCCCGCCGGCGACCCCAAUCAAUCUUUCCAGGUUGACCUCGGAUCAGGUAGGGAUUCCCGCUGAACUUAAGCAUAUCAAUAAGCGGAGGA